GCCGCCGCAGCCCCGGCCAGAGGGACCGGCGCGCGCGGCCCAGACGGACAGGGGCGCCGGCAUGGAGGACGGCCGCCGGCACGCGGCGGGGGCAGGAGGCGGGGCGGCCGGGGCCCCCGGACCCUAGACCUCCGCGGGAGGACGCGGGCCACCGAGCCACCCAGCCGGGCCCCGGCCGCGACCCGCCCACACGCGUCGCGGCCGGUGACCCAUUGCCCAGAAACUCACCAGACGGCUCCUUUCCGUCGGGCUCGAGAAAGAAAACACCAUUUGACUGCGGCCGACCUGUCGCCUCACGUUGGCCGGGGUGGGGGAAGCAGAAAGGACAAAUUCUGCAGCAGGGACUUGACUGGCCCUGACCAACAAGGCUUGGCCCCCCGAGCCCAGGAUCACGCGAGAGAACCUCCUCUAGAUGGGCUUGGAUGGUCCUGGAGGCCCCGGGUGUGCUGCUCCCCCUGUACCAGGAUGGCCAGGCUCGGCCCCGGGGGAGCCAGGAAAGACCCCGGUCCCACAGCCGCUCUGCCGCUGGCUGCUCUCGGCCCCCAGUGCUCCGAGUUCCUGGGACUGAAAACCGCAGUGGUCUGGUCAGCCCCAGGGACAGAGUGGCCCAGGGUCACACCACCUGCCCUCCUCUGCCGUCCAGCUGGAAGCCCGGUCCUGGGGUGAAGGGCUCUGCCUGCCUGGCCCUGGGGACUGAGGCCAGACGAGGCCACCAUGUAUCCCCUGCAGUUUCCCUGCAGACAGGGUGUACUGGCUUCCUUCCUUGUACCGAGCGUCCUGGGAUCCCCGGUCCUGUGGCCCCUCCUGCACCCAAUCCCCUUCCACCCGGAACCACUUGUGGGAGCCUGCCAGCCUGCUGACUCCAUCCACAGAUCUGUGGGGACAGCCUGCGAGAGUCACACGGGCUGCCUGAGAGGAGAGGACGAGGGGCCUCCUUGGGGCUGAUCCACAGAUGUGCCCCGUUCAAGCCCAGGUCUCACCCUCGGGGUGACCUUCUCCCCAGCUGCAGCCUUGUGGCUCAGCUGGAGCUGUCCGGGGCCUAUGACACCUCUUCCCAACAGGGAGAAGUGUGGGGGGAGCCUCAGGGCCCCUGGCCCGAGACCCCACCUCUGCAGGGACGCCCCGCCCCGUGGGUUCCCGGUCCGAGGGCGCAGGAAGUCUCAGCGCGAGGCCCGGGGACUGGGGAGGGUCCGCACAUCUUCAGCAUGUGUUCCUGCCUCUGCUUUUCUGACCAUUUUGGCCUUGAGUAGUUAGCGUGCUUCCUCCCCCACCUCUCCCCUCUCCCCCCAGUGGGCCCUGGCUGCCUGAUGGGCUCUCAGUGCACUUUAUUUAUUUGCAGUCUGUUUUCCAGGCAGCGAAGCUUCUACAAAAUCAGAGACACGAGCUGAAUAAGAUGAGCGUCACUUUCCUGCGUGUGAUUAACUGUACUGGUCAGCACCGUCUGCUGAGAAAUGUUCUUGCUUCUGGUAUUGUCAAAUCUUGUCACUCUAAGUUCAAAACAAAACCAAACAAGACUCCUUGAGUUCAAUAAAAUAAAAUAAGACCAGA